rnacentral:rRNA from 1 species
UACUUAUGGUGCGAGCGUGAAUCGGAAUUACUGGGCGUAACGCGUGCGCAGGCGGUUCUAUAAGACAGAUGUGAAAUCCCCGGGCUCAACCUGGGAAUGGCAUUUGUGACUGUAGAGCUAGAGUACGGUAGAGGGGGAUGGAAUUCCGCGUGUAGCAGUGAAAUGCGUAGAUAUGCGGAGGAACACCGAUGGCGAAGGCAAUCCCCUGGACCUGUACUGACGCUCAUGCACGCAAGCGGGGGGAGCAAACAGGCGGAGAUCACCGUGUAGUCC